rnacentral:rRNA from 1 species
CAAUAGCGUAUAUUUAAGUUGUUGCAGUUAAAAAGCUCGUAGUUGGAUUUCGGGUUGGCUUCAGCGGUCUCGCUUUGCGUUUGUACUGCUGCAGCCUACCUUCUUGUCGGGGACGGGCCUUCGGGCUUAAUUGCUUGGGGCCCGGAGUCGACGAUGUUACUUUGAGUAAAUUAGAGUGUUCAAAGCAAGCCUACGCUCUGAAUAUAAUAGCAUGGGAUAACACGACAGGACUCUGGCCUAUCGUGUUGGUCUGUAGGACCAGAGUAAUGAUUAAGAGGGACAGUCGGGGGCAUUAGUAUUCCGUUGUCAGAGGUGAAAUUCUUGGAUUUACGGAAGACGAACAUCUGCGAAAGCAUUUGCCAAGGAUGUUUUCAUUGA